rnacentral:rRNA from 1 species
GAUGAACGCUGGCGGCGUGCCUAAUACAUGCAAGUCGAGCGAAGCGGGGACGGGUGAGUAACACGUGGAUAACCUCCUCUAAGACUGGGAUAACUUCGGGAAACCGGAGCUAAACCGGAUACUUAUAGUUGGAUUCGGUGUGCAUUAGCUGGUUGGUAAGGUAACGGCUUACCAAGGCAAGGAUGCUUAGCGGACCUGAGAGGUUGAUCGGCCAAACUGGAACUGAGACACGGCCCAGCCUCCUACGGGAGGCAGCAGUGGGGAAUCUUGCGCAAUGGGCGAAAGCCUGACGGAGAAACGCCGCGUAGGUGAUGAAGGUCUUCGGAUCGUAAAACUCGGUUAUUAGGGAAGCGGUACCUAAUCAGAAAGCCACGGCUAACUACGUGCCAGCAGCCGCGGUAAUUC